AAAACCUAAGUUCCCUAAUUUCCCCAUCCGAUUCUUUCUUCCCCUCUCGCUCGAACUGCCACAGAAACCAUCUCCUCCUCACCUUCGAUCGUCGAAGAUGGAUCUGCCGCCGAGCUCUCGGAGUUAUCCUCCCUUGCACGGGCUACCUUCGACCAAGAGCAGGGAGGUAUCAUCCUCUCUCGUGCGGCACAACCUCGCGAGACCAAUCGGCGACACAGGCGGCUGUCGCAAGAGCUGCAAAGCUCCCUUCAUUGCCGAGACGCCGUCCACAUCCCUAUGUCGGAGAUGCCGGAAGGGAGGAGUGAACACCAGGGAGGACAGCAAGGCCACACACUUACGGAUUUGGGCGGAGUCGCUACCAUUAGAGGUCAUCGGCUCCAUCCCCUCUCUGCCACGGUACGCUGCAACCCAUUUCAUCAUCGACACAGGUCUGUUGAGCUCUUGUUGUUCCAUUUUCCAUCAUAGUGCCGAGUCAUCUCUUCGUCGGAGCAGACCAACUGUUAGCGUCGUAGCUACCUAGGCCGGUGCACCACCUCUAGUGUUAUGAUGUUCGUCAUCAAUCUCUCUCGGAUGGUCUUGCUUAGUGUUGAGUCCAACAACCAACUCAUGAAUCCCUGCUUUAUUCCUCUGCCUAUGCUGUGCCAACAGAUCAAGUAAUCGUUGCCCUAACCUUACCCUGGCUCACUGCCAUCGCAUCAACCAGAUUUCUUUCUGAGGGAUCUUGGAUCUAGUGUAGUAUUUUGUAGCACUCAAGGAUUAUUCGCUGGUGAUCCAUAAUUCCGGCGAUCCUGUUUCGGUAGUGAAUUCCUCUAGUCAUGUUUCACCAGCGGUCACCUUGGACUUGGAUGAGAUUUUUGAGGACUUAGGUUCGGGACGAGCAUCUCGACGUGAGAUUACGUGUCGUGAUAUACAUUUAAGG